UGAAAAGAAAGUGUCACAGUGAUAUGGAAUCACAGGCAUUAGAAUUUGUGCUCAUUCAUUAGGGAAGGAAGACACAUUAAACCAAGGCAGCCUGGAGACAGAGACUGAAUCACUCAUAAGUCUAGUUAUUUUAGUUAUUUCCUUAUCCUUGAGAAUACCGUUAGUCUGUGUUUCAGUGUCAGUCUGAGGGACAGUUCUCCAUUUAACUGAAUGAAUCAGCAUGUCAUGAAGGAGUUGGAGUGAGCAUCCCAUUAGAGGACUGAACUGUGUCAAGAACAACGGUUCCCUGGAGGAAUGCUAAACAGAGGAUCUCCUUCCCCAUGGGUUCCUUAGCAAUGCAAGACUCACUGGUUGGAAAAAAUUAGAAGUUAUUUGUUUUGGUAAAAAAAUAAGAAAAAUAAAAGCAAUAAAUUCCAUGUUGCAGGCACUGAUAUUAGAAAAGAAAUCUAGCAGGAAUAAGGAUGAAAAAGAAAUUGCAUAUUGUGAACUGCAUUCCCAAAUGAGGCAUUUUUUAAAAAGGUGGAAAGAUCAGAGGACAUGCAGAAAGAAGACCCAAGUAGAUGUCAUUCAGCCAAAUAAAAAAUUUUUAAAAAGGAAAAUAAAAAUUGAAGUCAGAGCCUCAGUUUGCCUUGAAGAGAAAAUAACAUCCGAAGG